CUGGAACAAAAGAGGGGAACGAAUUACACCACUUCCGAUCUCGAGCUCGAUCGCCGAGGUCGUUCACCCGCUCCUCCGUCGUCGUUCUCUAGCUUGAGAGCCAGCUCCUCCGUCGUCGUUCUCGAGCUCGAUCGCCCGCUCCUCUGUCGCCCCCUCGAAGAGAUCCGACGCCAGCAUCGUCACCCUCAACGUCACCGUUCUCGAGCUCGAUAGCCCUAGCUGGGCCCACCAUCGUCAUUCUCGAGCUCGAUAGCCCUAGCUGGGCCACCUCCGUCCUCUCCGACCCCCUUCCCUUAAUCGACCGCGACCCCAACUCUGUCGCCGUUCUCGAGCUCGAGAGCCCCGAGCCGGGAUUUCCCCACCGCCAUCUCCUCCGCCUCCUCCUCCGCCGCCGCCUCCGUCGCCUCAACCGGCUCUCGAACCCAGGUGAACGGAGAUAGACUUGACAGAGAGUUGGGGCAUGCUCAGGGAAAUGCUUACUAUUCAAAUUUAUUUCAUGCAUCUUGUUGUCCGUUUUUAAGGAAAAUUCAACCAACAUUUGAUGCUCUGAGCUCCAUGUUUCCACAAAUAAGGCACCUGGCUAUUGAAGAAUCUUCUGCCAUGCCGAGGUACAGGCAUGAUGAGUAAAAAACCCCUUGCAUUUGUUGUUGUACGACAAGUAGAGUCUGGCAGUCUGCCAUCUUCUCGUGUUAUGUAUGGUUCUCGUGGGAACUGAUUCUUCUCAUUUUGGCUUGGGCACAUGUGAGCUAAAACCAUCAUGGUUGUAAAUUUUUGUGCACUUAACAUUUCUGUAUAUUAAAAGUGGUUAGUUUG